UACGUGAGGUGGCAAGCGUUGUCCGGAUUUACUGGGCGAAAGAGCUCGGUUAGGCGGUUUGUCGCGUCUGGCUGAUGGAAAACUGGAGGCUCAACCUCCAGCCUGCAGUGGGUACGGGCAAACUAGAGUGCGGUAGGGGAGAUUGGAAUUCCUGGUGUAGCGGUGGAAUGCGCAGAUAUCAGGAGGAACACCGGAUGGCGAAGGCAGAUCUCUGGGCCGUAACUGACGCUGAGGAGCGAAAGCAUGGGGAGCGAACAGG
rnacentral:rRNA from 1 species